GAUGAAGAACGUAGCGAAAUGCGAUACUUGGUGUGAAUUGCAGAAUCCCGUGAACCAUCGAGUCUUUGAACGCAAGUUGCGCCCGAAGCCAUUAGGCCGAGGGCACGCCUGCCUGGGCGUCACACGUCGUUGCCCCCCCAUCUACUCCUUCGGGAUUGCGGGGGGCGGAUGAUGGCCUCUCGUGCGCCUCGUCGCGCGGUUGGCCUAAAUGCCAAGUCCUCGGCGACGCACGCCACGACAAUCGGUGGUUGCGAAACCUCGGUUGCCUGUCGUGUGCGGUCGUCGCGCAUCGAGGGCUCGAAAAAAUUGCCGGGCUUCGGCUCGACUUUCAACGCGACCCCAGGUCAGGCGGGGUUACCCGCUGAAUUUAAGCAUAUCAAUAAGCGGGA
rnacentral:misc_RNA from 1 species